rnacentral:pre_miRNA from 1 species
CAGACGCAUCAUCCCCGGAUACAAUGGACAAUAUGCUGUUAUAAUUGUACUGCAUUGUCCUUGCUGUUUGGAGAUAAUACUGCUGAC